AGAGUUUGAUCCUGGCUCAGGACGAACGCUGGCGGCGUGCUUAACACAUGCAAGUCGAACGAGAAUCACUGGAAGGAGUUUUCGGACAACGGAAGGUGAGGACAGUGGCGGACGGGUGAGUAACGCGUGAGGAACCUGCCUUUCAGAGGGGGACAACAGUUGGAAACGACUGCUAAUACCGCAUGACACAUAGAGAUCGCAUGGUUUUUAUGUCAAAGAUUUAUCGCUGAAAGAUGGCCUCGCGUCUGAUUAGCUGGUUGGUGAGGUAACGGCCCACCAAGGCGACGAUCAGUAGCCGGACUGAGAGGUUGACCGGCCACAUUGGGACUGAGAUACGGCCCAGACUCCUACGGGAGGCAGCAGUGGGGAAUAUUGGGCAAUGGGCGCAAGCCUGACCCAGCAACGCCGCGUGAAGGAAGAAGGCUUUCGGGUUGUAAACUUCUUUUGUCGGGGACGAGUAGAAGACGGUACCUGGCGAGUAAGCCACGGCUAACUACGUGCCAGCAGCCGCGGUAAUACGUAGGUGGCAAGCGUUGUCCGGAUUUACUGGGUGUAAAGGGCGUGUAGCCGGGAAGGCAAGUCAGAUGUGAAAUCCACGGGCUUAACUCGUGAACUGCAUUUGAAACUACUUUUCUUGAGUAUCGGAGAGGCAAUCGGAAUUCCUAGUGUAGCGGUGAAAUGCGUAGAUAUUAGGAGGAACACCAGUGGCGAAGGCGGAUUGCUGGACGACGACUGACGGUGAGGCGCGAAAGCGUGGGGAGCAAACAGGAUUAGAUACCCUGGUAGUCCACGCUGUAAACGAUGAAUACUAGGUGUGCGGGGACUGACCCCCUGCGUGCCGCAGUUAACACAAUAAGUAUUCCACCUGGGGAGUACGAUCGCAAGGUUGAAACUCAAAGGAAUUGACGGGGGCCCGCACAAGCGGUGGAUUAUGUGGUUUAAUUCGACGCAACGCGAAGAACCUUACCAGGGCUUGACAUCCUACUAACGAAGUAGAGAUACAUCAGGUGCCCUUCGGGGAAAGUAGAGACAGGUGGCGCAUGGUUGUCGUCAGCUCGUGUCGUGAGAUGUUGGGUUAAGUCCCGCAACGAGCGCAACCCUUACUGUCAGUUACUACGCAAGAGGACUCUGGCAGGACUGCCGUUGACAAAACGGAGGAAGGUGGGGAUGACGUCAAAUCAUCAUGCCCUUUAUGACUUGGGCUACACACGUACUACAAUGGCGUUAAACAAAGAGAAGCAAGACCGCGAGGUGGAGCAAAACUCAGAAACAACGUCCCAGUUCGGACUGCAGGCUGCAACUCGCCUGCACGAAGUCGGAAUUGCUAGUAAUCGUGGAUCAGCAUGCCACGGUGAAUACGUUCCCGGGCCUUGUACACACCGCCCGUCACACCAUGAGAGCCGGGGGGACCCGAAGUCGGUAGUCUAACCGCAAGGAGGACGCCGCCGAAGGUAAAACUGGUGAUUGGGGUGAAGUCGUAACAAGGUA
rnacentral:rRNA from 1 species